rnacentral:rRNA from 1 species
GAUGAACGCUGGCGGCGUGCAUAAUACAUGCAAGUCGAGCGAACAGACUAGUAGCUUGCUCCUCUGACGUUAGCGGCGGCCGGGUGAGUAACACGUGGUUAACCUCCCUAUCAGACUUGGUUCACUUCGGGAAACCGGCGCUAAUACCGGAUAAUCUAUUGUACCGCAUUGUUCAAUAGUGAAAGACGGUUUUGCUGUCACUUCUACAUGGAUCCGCGCCGCAUUAGCUAGUUGGUUAGGUAACGGCUUACCAAGGCAACGAUGCGUAGCCGAGCUGAGAGGGUUGUCGCCCACACUGGAACUGAGACAGGGUCCAGACUCCUACGGGAGGCAGAAGUAGGGAAUCUUCCGCAAUUGGCGAAAGCCUGGCGGAGCAACGCGGCGUGAGUGAUGAAGGUCUUCGGAUCGUAAAACGCUGUUAGUAGGGAAGAACAAAUGUGUAAGUAACUAUGCACGUCUUGACGGUACCUAAUCAGAAAGCCACGGCUAACUACGUG